AGAGUUUGAUCAUGGCUCAGAAUCAACGCUGGCGGCGUGCCUAACACAUGCAAGUCGAACGCGAAGGAGGCCUUCGGGCCUCUGGAGAGUGGCGUACGGGUGAGUAACACGUGGGUAAUCUGCCUUUGGGUGGGGAAUAACGAUCCGAAAGGGUCGCUAAUACCGCAUAACGCAGCGGCACCGCAUGGUGACAGUUGUUAAAGGGGGGGAUCGAAAGACCUCUCGCCUGAAGAGGAGCCCGCGUCCGAUUAGCUAGUUGGUGAGGUAACGGCUCACCAAGGCAUCGAUCGGUAGCCGGCCUGAGAGGGCGGUCGGCCACACUGGCACUGAGACACGGGCCAGACUCCUACGGGAGGCAGCAGUGGGGAAUUUUGGGCAAUGGGCGAAAGCCUGACCCAGCAACGCCGCGUGAAGGAUGAAAUCCCUCUGGGAUGUAAACUUCGAAAGUCGGGAAAGAAAUCGCCAUGGAGAAUACCUGUGGUGGAUGACGGUACCCGACUAG
rnacentral:rRNA from 1 species